UACGAAGGGAGCUAGCGUUGUUCGGAAUUACUGGGCGUAAAGCGUGUGUAGGCGGCCACGUAAGUCGGAUGUGAAAGCCCCAGGCUCAACCUGGGAAGUGCACUCGAUACUGCGUGGCUUGAGUAUCGGAGAGGUUGGUGGAAUUCUCGGUGUAGAGGUGAAAUUCGUAGAUAUCGAGAGGAACACCGGUGGCGAAGGCGGCCAACUGGACGAAUACUGACGCUGAGACACGAAAGCGUGGGGAGCAAACAGG
rnacentral:rRNA from 1 species